rnacentral:rRNA from 1 species
UUAAGUUGCAGGGUAUAGACCCGAAACCCGGUGAUCUAGCCAUGGGCAGGUUGAAGGUUGGGUAACACUAACUGGAGGACCGAACCGACUAAUGUUGAAAAAUUAGCGGAUGACCUGUGGCUGGGGGUGAAAGGCCAAUCAAACCGGGAGAUAGCUGGUUCUCCCCGAAAGCUAUUUAGGUAGCGCCUCGUGAAUUCAUCUCCGGGGGUAGAGCACUGUUUCGGCUAGGGGGCCAUCCCGGCUUACCAACCCGAUGCAAACUGCGAAUACCGGAGAAUGUUAUCACGGGAGACACACGGCGGGUGCUAACGUCCGUCGUGAAGAGGGAAACAACCCAGACCGCCAGCUAAGGUCCCAAAGUCAUGGUUAAGUGGGAAACGAUGUGGGAAGGCCCAGACAGCCAGGAUGUUGGCUUAGAAGCAGCCAUCAUUUAAAGAAAGCGUAAUAGCUCACUGGUCGAGUCGGCCUGCGCGGAAGAUGUAACGGGGCUAAACCAUGCACCGAAGCUGCGGCAGCGAACGUAUCACCCAAGACAACUUUACGGAGUUGACGAUUGACGGAGCGAAGCGACGUCAAAGCGUUCAUUAAAGUCGAGUUGGCUUAGGGAUACGUUCGUUGGGUAGGGGAGCGUUCUGUAAGCCUGUGAAGGUGUGUCGUGAGGCAUGCUGGAGGUAUCAGAAGUGCGAAUGCUGACAUAAGUAACGAUAAAGCGGGUGAAAAGCCCGCUCGCCGGAAGACCAAGGGUUCCUGUCCAACGUUAAUCGGGGCAGGGUGAGUCGACCCCUAAGGCGAGGCCGAAAGGCGUAGUCGAUGGGAAACGGGUUAAUAUUCCCGUACUUGGUGUUACUGCGAAGGGGGGACGGAGAAGGCUAUGUUGGCCGGGCGACGGUUGUCCCGGUUUAAGCGUGUAGGUGUGUGUUCCAGGUAAAUCCGGUU